UCCUUACAGGUUACAGGCCUCUCCUCCCACACCUUAACCUGAAGAGUAAUUUAAAUUUGUAGCUUUAAGAGCAAGAGUUAGCAAGCUAGCAAAAAUGCUUGCUGUAAUGAAGAGCCGAAAGAUCAAGGACAAGGGCCAAAACAUCAGGGGCACUGUGGUGUUGAUGCCCAAAAAUGUGUUGGACUUCAACGCCAUCGCGUCGGUCACUAAUGGGGGUCUUCUGGGCAUUGCGGGGAGAUCCUUUAGCCUCGCCAAUGACUUGGCCGGCCAUGCAUAUGACAGUGCCACCGCCAUCCUCAGCCGUGACAUCGCCAUACAGUUGAUCAGUGCUACCAAGACUGAUGCAAAUGGAAAUGGGAAACUUGGAAAGGAAACAUAUGUGCUGAAACGUCUUCCGACAUUACCAACCUUGGGAGCAAAGCAGGAAGCAUACAAGGUUAAAUUUGACUAUGAUCCUGAUUUUGGAAUCCCAGGAGCAUUUUACAUCAGAAACAAAAUGCAAGCUGAGUUCUUCCUUGUCAGUCUCACCCUCGAAGACAUUCCCAAUCAGGGAACAAUUCGCUUUGAUUGCAACUCCUGGGUUUACAACCAUAAAUUAUACAAAAACAGGCAUCGCAUUUUCUUCACCAAUCAUACAUAUGUUGUUGGUCAAACACCAGUAGGACUUGUUAAGUACAGAGAAGAAGAGUUGGAGAAUUUAAGAGGAGAUGGAACAGGGGAACGCAAAUUGCAUGAAAGGGUCUAUGAUUAUGAUGUUUAUAAUGAUUUGGGGAAUCCAGAUUCUAGUGCCGCUUUGGCUCGCCCAACAAUUGGAGGCUCUACCACCCAUCCUUACCCUCGCAGGGUCAGAACCGGUAGAAAACCAUGCAAGAAAGAUUCUGCCUGUGAGAAGCCUGCUGUGGACAUAUAUGUCCCAAGAGAUGAAAAUUUUGGUCACUUGAAAUCAUCAGAUUUCCUUACAUAUGGACUGAAAUCUUUAUCUCAGAACGUAUUGCCAUUGUUUAAAUCUGCGAUUUUUGAUUUAAACUUCACGCCAAAUGAAUUUGAUAGCUUCGAAGAAGUGCGUCGACUUUAUGAAGGUGGAGUUAAGCUCCCUACAAAUGUACUCAGCCAAAUUAGCCCUUUACCGGUCCUUAAGGAAAUCUUCCGCACAGAUGGUGAAAAUGUCCUCCAAUUUCCGAAACCUCAUGUAAUCAGAGUUAGUAAGUCUGCAUGGAUGACUGAUGUUGAAUUUGGAAGAGAUGAUUGCUGGUGUAAAUCCUGGUAUAAUUUGUUUGCUCCAAGAGUUCCCACCAAAAAGCAAGCUAGAUGCUACGGUUUAUGGUGAUCAAAAUAGUACAUUAACAAAAGAACACUUGGAGAUCAACCUGGGUGGACUCACAGUAGAUGAGGCACUUGGUGCUAAGAGGUUAUUCAUACUAGAUUACCAUGAUGCAUUCAUGCCAUUUUUGGAGAAGAUAAACAAAAUUGCAAAGGCUUAUGCAACAAGGACAAUCCUAUUUUUGAAAGAUGAUGGUGCUUUAACACCACUUGCCAUCGAAUUGAGUCUGCCACAUCCAAACGGAGUUCAAUAUGGUGCUGAAAGCAAAGUCAUCUUACCUGCCAACGAAGAUGCUGAAGGAACAAUUUGGCUACUGGCCAAGGCUCAUGUUAUUGUGAAUGACUCGAGCUAUCAUCAAGUCAUGAGCCAUUGGUUAAAUACUCAUGCAGUGAUGGAGCCAUUCGUCAUAGCAACAAACAGACAUCUCAGUGUCCUUCACCCUAUUAAUAAACUCUUAUAUCCUCACUACCGUGACACAAUAAAUAUCAAUGGACUUGCUCGGCAAGCCUUAGUUAACGCAGAUGGCAUUAUAGAAAAAUCAUUUUUGCCAGGACAAUAUUCUAUGGAGAUGUCAUCUGCAGUUUACAAGGAUUGGGUUUUCACUGACCAAGCUUUACCAGCUGAUCUUAUUAAGAGAGGAAUGGCAAUUGAGGAUCCCUCUGCCCCCUAUGGUCUUCGCCUUGUUGUAGAGGACUACCCUUUUGCUGUUGACGGACUUGAGAUAUGGGAUGCUAUUAAGACAUGGGUUCUAGACUAUGUGUCCUUAUAUUACUCGACAGAUGAUGAAAUCCAGAAAGACACUGAACUACAAGAUUGGUGGAAAGAUGUUGUACAGAAGGGUCAUGCUGACUUGAAAGACAAGGCAUGGUGGCCUAAGAUUCAAACUCUUGAUGAGUUGGUUGAGUCGUGCUCUACUAUCAUAUGGAUUGCUUCAGCUCUUCAUGCAGCUGUUAAUUUUGGACAAUAUCCUUAUGGAGGUUAUAUCCUGAACCGCCCAACACUGAGCAGGAGAUUGAUUCCGGAAAAAGGAACUCCAGAAUAUGAUGAGAUGGUGAAAAAUCCUCAAAAGGCUUAUUUAAGAACAAUCACACCAAAGUUCCAGGCCCUUCGAGAUCUUUCGGUGAUAGAGAUAUUGUCUAGGCAUGCUUCUGAUGAGGUCUACCUUGGACAGAGGGACAAUCCAAAUUGGACAUCUGAUACAAGGGCAUUACAAGCCUUCCAGAAGUUUGGAAGCAAGCUGCAAGAAAUUGAAGGGAAAAUCACAGAAAGGAACAAAGAUUCAAGUUUGAAAAACCGAAUUGGGCCAGUUGAACUGCCUUACACUUUGCUCCUUCCUUCUAGUGAGGAAGGAUUAACUUUCAGAGGAAUUCCAAACAGUAUCUCUAUUUAAAAUAGUGCGUGGUUUCCUUAUCUAGUGUAUUUCCUCAUAAAGAGGCGAUGCUUCUCUGUGUAUUCAUAUUUGCUGCAUAUUUGAAUCGUUAGGUUAUAACUUAUAAGUGUGCUUUGGCUGUAAGUUUGUAUGAUGUUAUGUUCACUAGUAUAUUUAAGGUGAUUGUGGCUAUUUUCUUA